rnacentral:tRNA from 1 species
AUAAUUAUAGUAUAAAAGUAUAGUUGACUUCCAAUCAACAGGUUCAUUCAUGAUAGUUAUA